AACAAGUUUGGAACAACACUAUCCGAAACGGUUUCCUUUGAAGAUGAAGAGCAUGUCGGAAUUGAUCUCGAUGUAGUCCCUUCUUACCUCCAAAGAAAGGAUCCAUUCAUUAAUGUACUAACGUUACAAAUGCAAAUUGACAACCAGUUAAAACAUGCAGAACUCUUAAAACAGCCGACACAUGUGUACAGUAUUGAGACUGGUGAAACAGAUAUUUUAACUGAAGCUGGUACUUCUGCGUACUCCGCACCAGAGACGCUAAAUACUGACAUUCCGACUCCAAGUACGUCUUCAGUCACAACGUUGAGUAACAACAGGGAUGAUGGUGGUACCUCGG